rnacentral:rRNA from 1 species
CCUACGGGAGGCAGCAGUAAGGAAUAUUGGUCAAUGGGGGCAACCCUGAACCAGCCAUGCCGCGUGCAGGAAGACGGCCCUACGGGUUGUAAACUGCUUUUAUACGGGAAUAAACCUCUCUUCGUGAAGAGAGCUGAAUGUACUGUAAGAAUAAGGAUCGGCUAACUCCGUGCCAGCAGCCGCGGUAAUACGGAGGAUCCAAGCGUUAUCCGGAUUUAUUGGGUUUAAAGGGUGCGUAGGCGGCCUAUUAAGUCAGGGGUGAAAGACGGUGGCUCAACCAUCGCAGUGCCCUUGAUACUGAUGGGCUUGAUUACACUUGAGGUAGGCGGAAUGUGACAAGUAGCGGUGAAAUGCAUAGAUAUGUCACAGAACACCAAUUGCGAAGGCAGCUUACUAAGGUGUUAAUGACGCUGAGGCACGAAAGCGUGGGGAUCAAACAGGAUUAGAUACCCUGGUAGUCCACGCCCUAAACGAUGAAUACUCGAUGUUAGCGAUAUACAGUUAGCGUCAAAGCGAAAGUGUCAAGUAUUCCACCUGGGGAGUACGCCCGCAAGGGUGAAACUCAAAUGAAAUUGACGGCGNGAGAGNGCGAGACGACGACGAGGGAGGAGG